UACGUAGGGUGCGAGCGUUGUCCGGAGUUACUGGGCGUAAAGAGUUCGUAGGCGGUUUGUCGCGUCGUUCGUGAAAACUUGGGGCUUAACUCCAAGCGUGCGGGCGAUACGGGCAGACUUGAGUACUACAGGGGAGACUGGAAUUCCUGGCGUAGCGGUGAAAUGCGCAGAUAUCAGGAGGAACACCAGCGGCGAAGGCGGCUUACUGGACAGUUACUGACACUCAACUACGAAAGCGUGGGGAGCAAACAGG
rnacentral:rRNA from 1 species